CAUGCANGUCGAACGAUGAAGCCCUUCGGGGUGGAUUAGUGGCGAACGGGUGAGUAACACGUGGGCAAUCUGCCCUUCACUCUGGGACAAGCCCUGGAAACGGGGUCUAAUACCGGAUACCACUCCUGCCUGCAUGGGCGGGGGUUGAAAGCUCCGGCGGUGAAGGAUGAGCCCGCGGCCUAUCAGCUUGUUGGUGGGGUAAUGGCCUACCAAGGCGACGACGGGUAGCCGGCCUGAGAGGGCGACCGGCCACACUGGGACUGAGACACGGCCCAGACUCCUACGGGAGGCAGCAGUGGGGAAUAUUGCACAAUGGGCGAAAGCCUGAUGCAGCGACGCCGCGUGAGGGAUGACGGCCUUCGGGUUGUAAACCUCUUUCAGCAGGGAAGAAGCGAAAGUGACGGUACCUGCAGAAGAAGCGCCGGCUAACUACGUGCCAACAGCCGCGGUAAUACGUAGGGCGCAAGCGUUGUCCGGAAUUAUUGGGCGUAAAGAGCUCGUAGCGGCUUGU
rnacentral:rRNA from 1 species